CUGCAUGAUAAGGAUAUGUCCAAUGCUUUUGCAUCUCAAAAGCCCAUUAUUGGCAAUAGAUACAAAAACAGAAAAGCAGAUGCAAGUGUUUUUAUAGGCUAACUUCAUCAAAGUUUGUGAAGUCCCUUUCAAUGUAGACUUGGUCUCAGAGGCUAAAUGCCAGGAAAGAGUUUUGGAUGCGGGGGAACCUGAGUUAACACACUUUAAUAAGUUAUUUGAUACUCUUUACAAACAAUUGUGGAAAAGAAAUGAAAAAAUAAUAAUAAUAAAAUUAAAAAAAAAAUACAAAGUAUGUGCCAUGCUGAGAAACCCUAU
rnacentral:misc_RNA from 1 species